rnacentral:rRNA from 1 species
GGACUACAGGGGUUUCUAAUCCUGUUUGAUCCCCACGCUUUCGUGCCUCAGCGUCAAGUAAGCCCCAGCCGGUUGUCUUCACCCUUGGCGUUCCGAUCGAUCUCUACGCAUUCCACCGCUCCACCGAUCGUUCCACCGGCCUCUAGCUACUUCGAGACGUGCAGUAUGCCCUGCGGUUCCCGGGUUGAGCCCGGGGCUUUCACAAGACACUUACACGCCCGCCUACGCACCCUUUAAGCCCAGUAAUUCCGACUAACGCUCGGGGCCUCUGUCUUACCGCGGCUGCUGGCAC